rnacentral:rRNA from 1 species
UUGCGCGGGAAGAAGAAAGUGACGGUACCGCGCGAAUAAGCCCCGGCUAACUACGUGCCAGCAGCCGCGGUAAUACGUAGGGGGCGAGCGUUGUCCGGAAUUACUGGGCGUAAAGGGCACGCAGGCGGUGCCGUAAGUCGGCUGUAAAAAGAUGCGGCUUAACCGCGUUGCGCAGUCGAAACUGCGGUGCUCGAGUACCGAAGAGGCAAGUGGAAUUCCCAGUGUAGCGGUGAAAUGCGUAGAUAUUGGGAAGAACAUCGGUGGCGAAGGCGACUUGCUGGUCGGUAACUGACGCUAUUGUGCGAAAGCCAGGGGAGCAAACGGGAUUAGAUACCCCGGUAGUCCUGGCGGUAAACGAUGAAUGCUGGGUGUGCGAGUAGAGAUACUGGUGUGCCGUAGUUAACGCGAUAAGCAUUCCGCCUGGGGAGUACGGUCGCAAGAUUGAAACUCAAAGGAAUUGACGGGGGCCCGCACAAGCGGUGGAGCACGUGGUUUAAUUCGAUGCAAA